rnacentral:rRNA from 1 species
AUUCCGGAGAGGGAGCCUGAGAAACGGCUACCACAUCCAAGGAAGGCAGCAGGCGCGCAAAUUACCCAAUCCUGACACAGGGAGGUAGUAACGAGAAAUACCAGGUUUGAGGCCCUAAGGGUCUCAACUGGAAUGAGCGUAAUUUAAAACCUUCGUCGAAAGCAACCGGAGGGCAAGUCUGGUGCCAGCAGCCGCGGUAAUUCCAGCUCCGGUAGUCUACUCUAAAAUUGCUGCAGUUAAAACGCUCGUAGUUGGAUUAUGGGGUGACUUGGUGUCGCAAGUGAAUAUGCUUGUUAGCAGUCUACUUGUGUAUCUAGGUUGCCACUUGCUCGUGGGAGCAUUGUGCUACUUGAUUGAUAGUGCAAUGUGCCCCGCGUAGUGUGCCUUGAGUAAAAUAGAGUGCUCAAAGCAGGCCUGUGCCUGAAUAUUGAUAGCAUGGAACGAAUAGCCGUGAAAUGUAUUUGGGUUGACAUGAUGCAAGUCAUGAUCAGUUCAAGUGCAUAGCACCGACCACGAUUGGGUUGUUGGUUACCACAAUCGGGUAAUGAUUAAGAGGGACAUUUGGGGGCAUUGGUAUUUGGGCGCGAGAGGUGAAAUUCUUGGACCGUCCAAGGACCAACAAGUGCGAAAGCAUUUGCCAAGAGUGUUUUCAUUAAUCAAGAACGAAAGUUAGAGGUUCGAAGACGAUCAGAUACCGUCAUAGUUCUAACCCUAAACUAUGCCGACCUGGGAUCAGCUCGGAGUAAUUCGAGCUCCAAGUUGGUCCCCCUGGGAAACCUAAAGUUUUUAGGCUCUGGGGGGAGUAUGGUUGCAAGGCUGAAACUUAAAGGAAUUGACGGAAGGGCACCACCAGGAGUGGAGCCUGCGGCUUAAUUUGACUCAACACGGGAAAACUCACCCGGUCCGGACAUCGAUAGGAUUGACAGACUGAUAGAUCUUUCAUGAUACGGUGGUUGGUGGUGCAUGGCCGUUCUUAGUUCGUGGAGCGAUCUGUCAGGUUAAUUCCGGUAACGAACGAGACCAAAAUCUCCAUUGUGGGUCAGUGUACCGUGUCGUGGUAUGCGUUUGGCCUAUGGAGAGACAACUGUUCUAAAGUCAGAGGAAGAUUGGCAAUAACAGGUCUGUGAUGCCCUUAGAUGUUCGGGGCUGCACGCGCGCUACAAUGAUGACAACAGCGAGUUUCUAAACCGAAAGGUGCGGUAAUCUUGUAAAUUGUCAUCGUGAUGGGGAUUGAGCCUUGUAAUUAUUGCUCAUGAAAGAGGAAUUCCUAGUAAGCUCGAGUCAUCAGCUCGUGUUGAUUACGUCUCUGCCCUUUGUACACACCGCCCGUCGCUACUACCGAGUGAAUGGUGUCAUGAUGCCUUGGGACUGAAACGUUA